rnacentral:hammerhead_ribozyme from 1 species
AUCUAGCUGACGAGUCCCAAAUAGAACGAAACGCGCAUCUUGGAU